ACAGACAGACGGACAGUAGAGUUACAGACAGACAGACAGUAGAGUUACAGAUGGACAGUAGUGUUACAGACAGACGGACAGUGUUACAGACUGACAGACAGUAGAGUUACAGACUGACAGACAGUAGUGUUACAGACAGACAGACAGUGUUACAGACAGACGGACAGUAGUGUUACAGACUGACAGACAGUAGAGUUACAGACAGACGGACAGUAGAGUUACAGACUGACAGACAGUAGAGUUACAGACAGACAGACAGACAUUAGAGUUACAGACGGACAGUAGUGUUACAGACAGACGGACAGUGUUACAGACUGACAGACAGUAGUGUUACAGACUGACACAGUGUUACAGACAGACGGACAGUAGAGUUACAGACUGACAGACAGACAAGUUACAGACAGACGGACAGUAGAGUUACAGACGGACAGUAGAUAGAGUUACAGACAGACGGACAGUAGAGUUACAGACGGACAGUAGAGUUACAGACUGACAGACAGUAGUGUUACAGACUGACAGACAGUAGUGUUACAGACUGACAGACAGUAGUGUUACAGACAGACUGACAGUAGUGUUACAGACUGACAGUAGAGUUACAGACAGACAGAGUUACAGACAGACAAGAGUUAAAGAGGUUACAGACGGACAAAAGAGUUACAGAGUGACAGACAGAAGAGUGACAGACAGAAGAGUGACUGAGAGAAAAGUGUCAGACAGAAGAGUGUCAGACAGAAGAGUGUCAGACAGAAGAGUGUCAGACAGAAGAGUGUCAGACAGAAGAGUGUCAGACAGAAGAGUGUCAGACAGAAGAGUGACAGACAGAAGAGUGACAGACAGAAGAGUGACAGACAGAAGAGUGACAGACAGAAGAGUGACAGACAGUAGAGUGACAGACAGUAGAGUGACAGACAGUAGAGUGACAGAGCAGUGACAGACAGAUUCGUUGAGCUGUAGAUGAGUCUUCUCUCAGAUCAACCUGCGCCGCUCACUGCUUUAGUUCACCGUUGAUCUAAAUUCCCUAAACCGGCGGUUUGGCUGCAGGCGCUCUGAGCGUCCCGCCCUCCGUGAUUCGCACGGCGGAUUUGCAUACGAAUACAGAAACUGUUUUACACUGCAGGUUUAAGCAGGCAUCGUUUUGGAGCUCUAUUGUAACGUGUGUGUGUGUGUGUGUGUGUGUGUGUGUGUGUGUGUGUGUGUGUGUGUGUGUGUGUGUGUGUGUGUGUGUGUGUGUGUGUGUGUGUGUGUGUGUGUGUGUGUGUGUGUGUGUGUGUGUGUGUGUGUG